GCUGACCUCAACGGUGAGACGGCUUAAUGAGUGAUUAGUCAGUUUCUUCUGAGAGUUUCUUCUCACUUUUUUAAAAUGGUGACGCCACCUUCACUUCCUAGUAUUUCGGGAUGUCCGUGAACCAACAUAUAGAUCAGGGAAAACUAUUUGUUUAAAGACCUGUUCAUGUUUAUUUCAACCAGAGAAUCAGAAAGGAAAACGUACUUAAAGUAAAGCUCAAACUGAGGUUCAGUAAACAGCAAACGCUGCUCUUUAAGGGCCAACGAUGACGAGGGGAUUAUUCUGGAGAUAAACCGUCAAAGAUACGAGUGAAGAGUUUUGCCACGAGCAGAAUUCAGAGAGGACAUCGUGUGUUUAGACAGGAAGAAAGCAUUCACGAUUCAUGAUGUGACAAAUGUAUUUCCUGUGAUAGAAUGCUGGAAGCGCUGAUUACACCUCAGGAGAAAACAAUUCACCAGAUGACCUGCACAAAGGUGGCAGUGUACUCUGAGGCUGCAUUUCAGGGAAAAUGAGGUGGUUCUCAAGAAGGAAACCGUUUUCCAGCUCCACAGGCUGCUAGCCACACUCAGCAACAAUGAAGCAACCAGAGAAAUCUCGCUCUGGUCCACAUGUCUUACAGUGGACCAGAAAGUGUCCAUAUCCCUGAAAUCGAAACAGUUUACUGGUGUUUUCUGCCUUAGAGUAGAAAGAAAAGAACAACAGGAGGAGCUGCGUGGCUUCACAGCUCAGGUUUGAGACUCGUUCAAUAGGACAGAAGAAAGACAAUUUUUAAAAAAUGUUACUAAGCGGUCCCAUUUAAAGUUUGUAGGGGAAACAUCUUCAGUUUUGUUCUCAUCUAUUCAGAUGAGAACAAAACUGAACUUCUGGCCUAAAUUCAAAAGAUUGUGCAUGCGGGAAGAUAUAUGGAGGUAAACAUAGAGCAACCUUGGAGGAAAAGCUGUCAGAUGCACAAAAAUCUAAGAUUGGGGCAAACAUUCAAUGGAACACUUAGCGUCAAAGCAAAUAGCAUGAUUUAGUCAAAGACCGCCACUAAACAUUUGUGGCAAGACUUUAAAAUUGGUGCCCUCCAAUUACCUUCAUUUUAUCUGAGAUGUUUGUUAUGAUUAAAAGUUCCCAUCUGUUGAUGUUUAACCCAAAGGGCUUACAACAGCAGUUGGAGCCAAGCUUGGUUCUAUGGCCUUAGAGGGACUUUGAAAUUUAUAAUAAUAUACAUCUGUCGUAAACAAUGAUCUUUUCGUUUGAUAGACUUCACCAAAAAAUAUUAGCUUUUCAAAUUAUGGAAGUAUUUUUGCACCUAUCUGACUUUUGCUAACCAAAUAUUUCCUGAAUAGGUUAACUUAUAUUUUUAUAGCGUUUCGAUGUUGUAAUUUAUGCUCCUUUCUCUCUUUUGUAUGUUUUGAUAUCACAAAUCAAAUACUGCUGGACUCUGCCAAAAAUAUUUUUAGCAUAAAAUUAAAUCCUGUUCAUUUAUUUCACAAGCUAGUCUGACUUCGUUAAUGUUAUAAAUGGUUCAGAAACUGAUAAGCAAAUAGACACCAUCUUGCCAAACUACUCAGCCCUUCUUCCACAUUUUUGUCAAAACCGGCACUUUGGUCAGAUUUUGUGUCACUAGAUCUGACUCCCACUUUUCACUGGUGCUGCUUCUAAUAAUAAUGAACAUUUUAUAUAUUCAAUAAGUUCUUUGAAGUGCUGAAACAACAGGAUUUGUAAUUUACUAGUUGGCAAUGCAACCGCGAUAUGUUUUUCCAAGUGACGGCGAGCUCCACCCUCUCCUGAAUAGAUGCCACUUCAGCAGUUGGCCACAAGAGGGAGCCAAUGGAGCAUAUAAGCUGAAUUCUGCCAUUUAUGCUCAAGUUAAACUCAUAUUACAUGAAUAAAAAAGCAUAAAGUAAAGUCACACGGUGAAGGAAAAAUUGUAUUUGGUGCCGUUAGUCAUCUUCAUUAUCACAAUGGAGCCAAAUACAGAGCAACCAAGCGAACGCUUUGCUUUUAACUGACCACCCCAGGUCUUCUGUAAAUUUGUUUCAUUGUUUUUUUUAUUGAUAAGAGUUGGAAGAUAAUUUUGUAACGCAGUGCUUUAAAGUGAACACAACUAAACAUUCAAAUUAUGUCAUCAUAGGACAGACGUUUCAAUCUUUUCAAGCUGUUGCGCCUAAACCGAAUUUUAUGAAAGAGCCAGCAGGGGGCGACUCACACUGCUGCAACAUCUGACACAAUGAUAUAGCUACAGAUUUAAAGUUAAGCUAAAAUAAUGCUACACUAGAAAAAAAUGAACUUUAUUUACCCAUAUAAAACCUUUGCACCGUGAUUUGACCACUAGCAUAUAUCAUUUUGUUUUUAAAUAAAUUUGUAUUUUUGAAUUCAAUAUUUUCCCAUCACAUUUAACUUCUAAACAAUUACUUAAAAAAGAAACCUUUAAAUAUUUUUUCUUCCCUUUUAGAUAUAUUUGAGCCCCAUUUCUUACCAGCAUAUACUUUAAAUUCAAAUAUUCAGACUCAACACUCACACAAUUAGACACCAAGAUUGAGUGUAUUCAUCCAUUCAUUGCCCACUUCAGAUUCACUUCAAGCAUUUUAAUUAAUAAAAUGGAAUUAAAAGAUGUUUAUAGGGUAAAUGACAGAAAACAGGAACUGAAAUACCAAUAUUUUAUUUGCAAAAGGAUACCGGUUAAUACACUGAAUGAAGCACUGAAACAAGCCACGGUAACAUUGCAAAAUACCACUAAAAACAACAGUGUAAAUUCUAGAGAAAAAGUAAUUUGAUCCAAAAGGCAUACAUUAUGAAAGAAGAGGAAGGAAGUGUAUUUACACCAUGGCAAAGUGUCCUGUAUCUCUACAAAACAAAUGUGAUUGGAGGCCUCUUUGUUUAAGACAUUUUAAAAAAUGUAUUACAAAUAGCUGCUAAAGAACAAGUCGUUUUACGUUCCAUUUAUUGGUUUUAUCAAAAGACAUCUAGAAAAAAAAAAAGAAAAAAAAAAGGCACCACUGAUGGUGA